AAACUACAUAAAGGAAAAAUACUUUGACCCAUUUGUUGAUGAUGAAUCAACUGAUAGGAUGUAUGCUAGUCUUCCUCCAUACAUUGAUCGAUUCACUUUCGAAAAGUGUGUGGAAGAAUUAUGGACUACAGAAGAAUUUAAGGUAUUGUUUUACAUACAUCCAUACUUCAAUAAUUUACUAUUUUAUAUUGUAAGUUGUUUAACAUUAUAUAUGAAUUCGCAGAGAAAAUCAAAAAUAAACAAAACAAACCGGAGUAAGAAGAUACUAAACCAUAAAACAGGGU
rnacentral:lncRNA from 1 species